rnacentral:lncRNA from 1 species
AAUGUCAAUAUUUUACUAUAUUGUGCUCAAUCCGGUCAUGAAUUUCUAACUGACAUCAUUGGCUCAGGGAUGCUAUGAUUGAGUACUCGAAGCAUGUGAUGACCUUAGGUGGUUUUCUCUUUGAGCUUCUCUCAGAAGCUCUUGGUUUACACUCGGAGAUACUUAAGAGCAUGGAUUGCAUGAAGGCUUUGAAUGUGGUCGGCCAUUAUUACCCUCCUUGUCCACAACCCGACCUAACUUUUGGCACAAGUCAGCAUUCCGACAGCUCCUUCAUCACCAUUCUUCUUCAGGACCAAAUCGGUGGUCUUCAAAUUCUUCGUAAGGACUCUUGGGUCGAUGUCACUCCUCUUCCCGGAGCGCUCGUCAUCAACAUAGGAGAUUAUUUACAGGCAAUAUAUCAUUUUGGAGCUUUUAAAAGUAUAAUAUACAAUGCACUUUUGCUGAGAAACUAGGACACCUUUUAAUAUGCAGCUAAUAACGAAUGACAAGUUCAUAAGCGUGGAGCAUAGGGUGCUCACAAACAGAGCAGGACCGAGGAUUUCUGUCGCGGGCUUUUUCAGCACAAAUAUGCUUCCCAAUUCAACGGUUUACGGACCAAUCAAAGAGCUUCUUUCUGAAGAAAACCCUCCAAAAUACAAAGACUUCACUUUAGAAGAAUACAACAAGGGGUACUUUGAGAAAGGCCUUGACGGAACAUCGCAUCUGUCUAAGUUCAAGAUAUGAAGAACAUCUGAGUUAAAAUAUAUGUGCAUCAGUUCUUGUCUUGUUUUCCAUUUUAAGCUACUUUAUUUCCCUCUUAGCUCCCCUAUAACUAAACCACUACCAAAAGUAAGUACAGAAAUUGUGUGUCGGCAUUUAUUAAAUUCCCAUCGUAACAGCUUUGUAUUGGAUCAACAGAAAUAAAAUCAUUCUUCGUGUAUCAGAGAAUAAAAGUUGUUACUUCAAUGUUGGUGCUAGUUAUCAUUAAUUAUGCAAAUUUUAUGAAAAUGUUCUUAAAUUAAUAGAUAGUAGUGCUAAUUAUCAUUAUUUCGGUUCUUGAGUAAAUAAAAAUCGCCAGUAAUAGGUGUUCUUCUCUUUUCAUUUAUGAGAAAUUACCACAAAUAUCACUGGUACUACUUUUCAUUUUCAUGUAUACACUAAUCACUUUUAUCCUCAUUUUUAAUAAAUGGUAGAAGACACUUAUAUUCAUAGUGUUAACUAAUCUAUACUUAGGGUUGAGAAUUGAGGGGUGGCUUAGAGUUUUUGGAAUAUGAAAUUUAUGAUUCUAAUAAAUAUAUAAAUAAAUACUUAAAAAUUUAAAAAAUUUUAAAAAAAUAGUUUCAAGCAUAGUUUUCGAAAAAUAAAAUAAAAAUUCAAAAAAAAAAUUAUAAAAAAGUUCGAAUUUUAAAAAGUAUAAUUCGAAAACAUUAAAAAAAUUAUCAUUAUUUUUUAUUAUUAUUAUUUUUUAUUUAUUUAAAUAAUGAUUUAUUAUAUAUAUAGAGAACAAAUAUAUAAGAGUAUUUUGCCACUUAAUGAAGAAAAUAUUUUUGAAAAUGUCUCUUUAGUGGUGGUAAAGAUGAAAAAUGAUACCAUGAAAGUGGUAAACAUGAAAUUUCCCCUUGAUUUAUUAUGUUUCCUUAGCACAUUUAAUGUUCAGAGUACACCUGGGCGUUCGGUGGUACGUUCGGUUUCGGUUCGGGUGAUUCGGAUUUUCGACAAUUAAUCUUUAUCAAAAUAUUUUUGUAUAAUAUAUUUUGGUUUGGAUUUCAUAAAUUUUACGAGCUUUCUUUUGUAUCCAGACUAAACUGUUACCAAUAUUUUCUUUCUAUUUAAUUCAGAAAAUGAGGUGUAAACUAGAUUACUAGUUAAUAAAAAAGUAUUUGUGGAAAAUAUAGAAAAACUUUCAAUAUGAGGAGAGGAUUAUUCAACCCAUUCGUUUUUAAGUUUUUUUAUUGAGUUUUCCUGGUUGUGAAUGUUUAUGCUGACAUCAUGCCAACAAAAACUGCAAACGUCGUCAACGGUCACUGUCGUUCCCACACACCAAAGACCAAUUUUUCAACCAUGGAAUGUCGCUGCUAUGCCUCUCUUAUCUUUUCCUUCACCUCAUGAUCAUAAGUAAUGACUAUGACUAUAAAACUAUCUCCAACCCAUCCCUAUUUUUAUCUCUAUAUUUUCCUCUAAAAUAGGAAAACUCUAUUAUAGAAAUGAAAAUGUAUACCAUUUUGCUUAUACUCAAAAGCAAGGAGAUAUUCUCUUAAUCACUUAUCGACCAAACGUAUACCAUUUUCUUGAUACUCAAAAGUCACAUCAAGAUCAAGAUUACGUGGAACGUUCUUCUUCUUCGUCCUAUAUAUGGCGCAGCCUUUGUAAUAAAAUUUGAAAUAUUAGUCAAUAAAAAUAUUUGUGAAAAAUAUAAUAAAACUUUCACUAUGAGGAGGAUUUUUUUCGAUCAAUAUGAGGAAGAUUAUUCGACCCGUUAGUUUUAAGUUUUUUUUUUUAAGUUUUCCUCGUUGUGACUGUUUAUGCAGACAUCACGGCCAACAACAAGUGCUAACGUCAUCAACGGUCAUUGUCGUUCCACACACCAAAGACCAAAUUUCAACCAUGGAGUGUCGCUGCUAUGCCUCUCUUAUCUUUUCCUUUACCUAAUGCUCAUAACAAAUAAUAGUAUAUACCUAUAAGAGUACUGCCUUAAUCACUAAUCGACCACAAGAUCGAAAACGUAAACCAUUUUUCUUGAUAUUCAAGUCACAUCAAGAUGCAGACUACGUAUAAUAUUCCUUUUCUUCUUCGUCCUAUAUAUGACGCAGCCUUUGUGAGAAAUUUCGAAAUAGUUUCAAAAAACAAAUAUGGAGCUCGACUCUUACAACGAGCGCAAAGCUUUCGACGAGACCAAGGCAGGAGUUAAAGGUCUCGUCGAUGCUCACAUCACUGAGGUUCCUCAUAUCUUCCGUCUCCCUCAAGGUACCUUAUCCGACAAGAAACCCUCUGUUUCUGCCUCUGCGAUCCCUGUUGUCGACUUGGCAGAAGUAGACGUGUCACGUGAACGUGUCGUUGAGAAGAUCAAAGAUGCUGCAGAGACUUGGGGAUUUUUCCAGGUGAUCAAUCAUGGUGUUCCUUUAAGCGUUAUUGAAGAGAUCAAAGGUGGAGUUCGCAGGUUUCAUGAGCAAGAUCUCGAAGUUAAGAAAUCUUACUUCACGCGUGACCCCACCAAGUGUUUUGUCUACAAUAGUAAUUUUGAUCUGUACAAUCCUUCUUCUCUAUGUGUUAACUGGAGAGACACCUUCGUUUGUUGCAUGGCUCCCGAUCCUCCAAACCCUGAAGACAUACCAUUGGCUUGCAGGUAUAAAUAAAUAUUGUUUUCUCAUCAAAAAUCUGUGGAAAAAAUAUUGAUUCUAACUAGGGCCGGAUUUGAGAUUUUGUGGGAUAAAAAUAUUUACUAAGAUUUUAAUAAAAAAAUAUUUAUAUAAUUUGUAGGCUGAUUUUUUUUGUAUAUAUUGAUUCUGACUAAGGCAGGGUUUUGUGGGAUAAAAAUAUUUACUAGAUUUAAUGAAAAAUAUUUAUAUAGUUUGGAGGUUGAUCCCCUAUACUAUAUUUGCGAAGUGAUUUUGCCAUAUGUCAUCUUUACAAUCAAUUUCACAAAACAAAUAUGACAUGACCACUGAAAUUGAUGACAUGGUUUCCGAAAAAAAUAUGACAUGAAUAAUUUUAUUUAAUGCUGAUUUAUAUUUUUGGCAAACUUAUUAAAAUAUGAUAAUAAUUCAUAUAUUACAUUUAAUAUUGAUAUUUCUUUUUGGUAAACUUUUUUUAAAUAUGGUAAUAGCUCAUACAUCAUCUAUAAAAUAAAUAUAUUAAUAUAUAAUUUUGUAUAAUUAUACAAUUUGUAUUACCAAAGCUUUCAAAGUUUCUACAAUUUUUAAAAAAAUUUAAAUAUCUAAUCGUAAAAUCAUUAGUUUCUUAUAUAUCUACAAAUUUUAUAAAUAUUGUUUAGGCUAAAUUUUUGAUAAUUAUAUAAUUUUAUAUCAUUUUUAUUAGUUUUAUACAAAUUGUUUAAUAUAUAUCAAAUUUUUAUUAAACAUUAGUAAGAAAAUAGUAAAAUCUAUAAUAUUUAAUAAAUUUUAUUUUUAAAUAUAAGUUAGAUUUAAAAGAUUUCUUACUGCACAUGGUGCAUGAAAACACUUAGUUUCUUUGUAUAUAACUCUAAAAAAAUUUGGGAACCAAUGUCAAUAUUUUACUAUAUUGUGCUCAAUCCGGUCAUGAAUUUCUAACUGACAUCAUUGGCUCAGGGAUGCUAUGAUUGAGUACUCGAAGCAUGUGAUGACCUUAGGUGGUUUUCUCUUUGAGCUUCUCUCAGAAGCUCUUGGUUUACACUCGGAGAUACUUAAGAGCAUGGAUUGCAUGAAGGCUUUGAAUGUGGUCGGCCAUUAUUACCCUCCUUGUCCACAACCCGACCUAACUUUUGGCACAAGUCAGCAUUCCGACAGCUCCUUCAUCACCAUUCUUCUUCAGGACCAAAUCGGUGGUCUUCAAAUUCUUCGUAAGGACUCUUGGGUCGAUGUCACUCCUCUUCCCGGAGCGCUCGUCAUCAACAUAGGAGAUUAUUUACAGGCAAUAUAUCAUUUUGGAGCUUUUAAAAGUAUAAUAUACAAUGCACUUUUGCUGAGAAACUAGGACACCUUUUAAUAUGCAGCUAAUAACGAAUGACAAGUUCAUAAGCGUGGAGCAUAGGGUGCUCACAAACAGAGCAGGACCGAGGAUUUCUGUCGCGGGCUUUUUCAGCACAAAUAUGCUUCCCAAUUCAACGGUUUACGGACCAAUCAAAGAGCUUCUUUCUGAAGAAAACCCUCCAAAAUACAAAGACUUCACUUUAGAAGAAUACAACAAGGGGUACUUUGAGAAAGGCCUUGACGGAACAUCGCAUCUGUCUAAGUUCAAGAUAUGAAGAACAUCUGAGUUAAAAUAUAUGUGCAUCAGUUCUUGUCUUGUUUUCCAUUUUAAGCUACUUUAUUUCCCUCUUAGCUCCCCUAUAACUAAACCACUACCAAAAGUAAGUACAGAAAUUGUGUGUCGGCAUUUAUUAAAUUCCCAUCGUAACAGCUUUGUAUUGGAUCAACAGAAAUAAAAUCAUUCUUCGUGUAUCAGAGAAUAAAAGUUGUUACUUCAAUGUUGGUGCUAGUUAUCAUUAAUUAUGCAAAUUUUAUGAAAAUGUUCUUAAAUUAAUAGAUAGUAGUGCUAAUUAUCAUUAUUUCGGUUCUUGAGUAAAUAAAAAUCGCCAGUAAUAGGUGUUCUUCUCUUUUCAUUUAUGAGAAAUUACCACAAAUAUCACUGGUACUACUUUUCAUUUUCAUGUAUACACUAAUCACUUUUAUCCUCAUUUUUAAUAAAUGGUAGAAGACACUUAUAUUCAUAGUGUUAACUAAUCUAUACUUAGGGUUGAGAAUUGAGGGGUGGCUUAGAGUUUUUGGAAUAUGAAAUUUAUGAUUCUAAUAAAUAUAUAAAUAAAUACUUAAAAAUUUAAAAAAUUUUAAAAAAAUAGUUUCAAGCAUAGUUUUCGAAAAAUAAAAUAAAAAUUCAAAAAAAAAAUUAUAAAAAAGUUCGAAUUUUAAAAAGUAUAAUUCGAAAACAUUAAAAAAAUUAUCAUUAUUUUUUAUUAUUAUUAUUUUUUAUUUAUUUAAAUAAUGAUUUAUUAUAUAUAUAGAGAACAAAUAUAUAAGAGUAUUUUGCCACUUAAUGAAGAAAAUAUUUUUGAAAAUGUCUCUUUAGUGGUGGUAAAGAUGAAAAAUGAUACCAUGAAAGUGGUAAACAUGAAAUUUCCCCUUGAUUUAUUAUGUUUCCUUAGCACAUUUAAUGUUCAGAGUACACCUGGGCGUUCGGUGGUACGUUCGGUUUCGGUUCGGGUGAUUCGGAUUUUCGAAUUUUUGGUGUUAUGCUCAUAAGUACCAUUCGGUUUUUACUAAUUAUCGGAUCGGGUUUGGUUCGGUUCCUUCCGGGUUCGGUUCGGAUCGGAUUUAACCAAUGUUUAAAAUCGUACAAAAAUAUAUUUUUAAGAACCUCGAAAAUUGACCAAAUUUUUUUCAAAAUAUAUAAAUUAUUUACAAAUCUAAUUAAAAAUUAGUUAAACUAUCUAAAUUAACUAAAAAGUAUUCAAAAUAACAAAUAAAACAAACUACAAAAAUAUUUUGAAUACUCUAAAAUAUCUAAAUCACCUUAAUAUAUAUAAAAACAUUAACAUAUUUAACUAAUUUCGGAUAUCAUCGGAUCCAAAUUCGGAUUUCGGUUCGGUUCGGGUUAUAACCAAAGUCCAAAGUAGUAAGCUCAUAAGUCCCAUUUGGAUAUUUUUGUAAAACAGUUCAGAUUCGGUUUCGGUUUUUCCGGUUCGGGUUAAGGUCGGUACUUCGGGUUGAGUUAAAAACGCUCAGGCCUAGCUCAGAGAAAUCUCUUCAAACAAAUACUACUAGUAAUAAUACUAUUCACUUACAUUUCUAUAAUCCUAUUCAAAUCCAUUUGUUAAAAAAAAUCAAAUCAAAUCCAUUAACUCUGACUUAUAAACAGUGCACACACUGAUUUCUCUCCUACCUCACUCUCCAAAAUAAUUUGAAUAAAUCCACCUCUAAAUAUAAAAAUUAAUUUUAAAAAAAAUACAAAACGAGAUUUUAAAAGUAAAUAAAAAAGGAACAGACACUUAGAGCAAUCCCAACGGUAAGAAAACUCGAGCUAAAAAUUAAAUAAAUCAAACUAAAAUAGAAUCCAACCAAUUUUUGAGUAAAUUUCUGUAGAACUAGAGGGUUAAUAUAUUUUUAAAUUAUGUUAUUAUUGAAUGACAUACAUUUACAUAUAUAUAUAUACAUAAAAUUUUAAACAUAUAAUAUAAUGUAUCUAAAUCUUAUAAUAUAUAUUUAAAUCAACUAAUUUUUAUCAAAAUAAGAUUUAUAUAAUAUGUUUUGGUUUGGAUUUUAAAUUUUACGAGCUUUCUUUUAUAAACAGACUGUAAAAAUCUAUAAUAGAUAACUUCCUAAACUAUUUCUAAUAUUUUCUCUAUCAAAUUUAGAAAAUGAGGUGUGAACUAGAUUAUUAGUCAAUAAAAAUAUUUGUGAAAAAUAUUAUUCGACCCGUUCGUUUUAAGUUUUUUUUUUUUAAGUUUUCCUCGUUGUGACUGUUUAUGCUGACAUCACGGCCAACAACAAGUGCUAACGUCAUCAACGGUCAUUGUCGUUCCACACACCAAAGACCAAAUUUCAACUAUGGAGUGUCGCUGCUAUGCCUCUCUUAUCUUUUCCUUUACCUCAUGCUCAUAACAAAUAAUAGUAUAUACCUAUAAGAGAUAUUGCCUUAAUCACUAAUCGACCACAAGAUCGAAUACGUAAACCAUUUUUCUUGAUAUUCAAGUCACAUCAAGAUGCAGACUACGUAUAAUAUUCCUUUUCCUCUUCGUCCUAUAUAUGACCAGGGGUGUCAAUUGGUUGGGCCACCCAUGGGCUAACCCAUUCCAAACAAACAUGGGUGGGUGAUGGUCAUACCCAAAUAAUUAAUGGUCCAAUUGGGUUAAAAACCCACUUUGCCCAUGGGUUAAUUGUUCCAAACCAAAUGGAUGUUGGGCUGGCCCAAAAACUUAAUUUCUAGGGUUUAGAGAAUUUAGGAAAAAAUCAAUCAGAAAUAAUUUUUCCCGAUUCUUUCUGCAACCAACGAUUUUUUCCUCCCAGAUUUCUCUUCGUCUACUGUUCUUGUGUUCAUCAAUCCAUACGAUUCUCUCUUCCCUCCCAUCGAUUCCCUUCUUCAUUUCUCUACAAUUUCAGGUAUGAUUCGAUUUUAGCUCUGAUCUCGCGAUUUCUCUACUUUCUGUGUUGUGGGUUUUGUGGGUUUUGUGGAUGAUAAUCUCGUUUCCAUUGUUUCCAUUGUUUACUCUAGUUCUGAUGAUGAUGAUGAUGAAUCGUUUAGAAUAUUGUUUUGUUUUGGGUUGACGUGUAUUGUAUUUCUCUUUAAAUGCAGGUUUCGUUUCUGCUCGGAGUCAUCCUUGUCUUCAUAGCAUGGAUAUACUCAGAGUUUCUGGAGUACAAGAGUGAGAGAGCAAACGUUGGGAGAGAGUGAGAAAAUCAAGCGUUGACGUUGAGUAUAUUCUUGUGUGUUUACUUAUCAAAUCACAUCCUUUUACGAACAGGUAUUAGAGCAAGAAAGUCAACAAUAUUUGGGGAUCAAUAUGUGCAUUUCAACGUCAGCAUCCCUACGUAAGUCUCCAUACAACACAGUUAUUUUGCUUGAAAUGUUAAUGCUUGUGUUGAUGUCUCUGCCCUUACAUACAAGUUAUGAGAAUCAUUGAAUAACUCCAAGUUGCUAUCUUUUUUCCUUCUUGCAGGCUGAAGACAAGUAAAGAAGCUGGAAGCUGGAGCAAAGUGAAUCAUGAUAUCAGAGUUAUAACAUUUUUUUUACAUAAAACAGAGAGUUAUGAAAAACUGAAGUCUAUUGAAUUUAAUUUACAUCACAUUUGUAUUCAGAAAUUUUCAAUGACAUUAAAAUUGAGUUUAAAUUGAGUUUAUACAAAUUUUGUAUAAUUUUUAUUUUCUAUAAGUAUAUAAGUUUGUAAAUUGAGUUUACAAUAAUUGAUUAUGAACAAAAUUGAGCUAAUUGUUAAAAAGAAUAAUAAUGGGUGGUCUUAGGUUAUUUCCAAUGGGUAUGGGCUAACUUGGAUAUGAGUGUUUUUGGGUAUGGAUAUUAAAUGGGUGUGAGUGUUUUUGGGUAUGAGCGUUAAAUGGCCCAACUGUACACACCCAUUUGGGCGUGGACCGCCCAACUUGACAUCCCUAUAUAUGACGCAGCCUUUGUGAGAAAUUUCGAAAUAGUUUCAAAAAACAAAUAUGGAGCUGGACUCUUACAACGAGCGCAAAGCUUUCGACGAGACCAAGGCAGGAGUUAAAGGUCUUGUCGAUGCUCACAUCACUGAGGUUCCUCAUAUCUUCCGUCUCCCUCAAGGUACCUUAUCCGACAAGAAACCCUCUGUUUCUGCUUCCGCGAUUCCUAUUAUCGACCUUGCAGACGUCCAUGUGUCACGUGAAGGCAUCGUUAAGAAGGUCAAAGACGCAGCGGAGAAGUGGGGAUUCUUCCAGGUGAUCAAUCAUGGUGUUCCUUUAAGCGUUAUUGAAGAGAUCAAAGGUGGAGUUCGCAAGUUUCAUGAGCAAGAUCUCGAAGUUAAGAAAUAUUACUUCACGCGUGACGUCACCAAGAGUGUUGUCUACAAUAGUAAUUUUGAUCUGUACAAUCCUUCUUCCCUAUGUGUUAACUGGAGAGACUCCUUCGUUUGUUGUAUGGCUCCUGAUCCUCCAAACCCUGAAGAGAUCCCAUUGGCUUGCAGGUAUAAAUAUUGUUUUCUCUUCAACAUUUUUUGGAAGAUAUGUUGAUUUUAAGUAGGAACUAGGGGCGGAUUUGAGAUUUUGUAGGAUAUAAAUAUUUACUAAGAUUUUAAUAUAAAAAUUUAUACUUCCUCCGUUUCGAUUUAAGAAAAAAAUUCCGUUUCAGAAUAAGUAUGUUUUAGAGUUUCAAUACAAAAUUUAUUAAUAAGAUUGUUUACUUUAUUUUUUUAUUGGUUGAAAUAUCACUACAAGAAAACACAAAUUUAACGACGGCCAAAAUCGUCGUUAUUUCCUCGGAAAAGACGGCUUACGAGGAAAUGGCGAUGAAAGGCGUUUCGUCGUUAUAUGAUUGUCGUAAGAGAAGAUUCGUCGCCAUUUCCUCGUUAAUUAGCGAGGUUAUAUUUUCCUCGUAAAGAAGAAUUAAGUUUUCGUCGUAAAGACCACGUGGGGUUUCCACGUAACGCGGUCGUUGUGCUUCCUCGUAAGAAACUCGUAAAUGAUUCGUCGUAAAAGACCCGCAAAAACCUCUAAAUAAAUUCGUCGUAAUAAAAACGUAAGGAACACGAAAACAAUUCGUCGUAAUAGAAUCGUAACUAAAUCCACGUAAAAUCCUCGUUAAUUGUUCCUCGAUAUUUCGUCGUUAAUUUUCCUCGUUAAUACAUCGGGAAUUAGCGACGCAAUUACUUUGUUUUCUAUUUACUGAAUUUAUAAAUAAAAAUUAUAUUUAUUUAAUUUAUUAAUAAAAUUUUAAUUGAAAUUAAAUCGAAUAGAAAAUUUUUUUUUGGCCGAAUUAAAAUGAAAUUAUAUAAUAUAUAAAUAAGUUUUGAAUUUUAAAAUACAAUAACAAAAAAAAAAACUAAUGCUGCAUUGCCGCGUCGUAGAAUUCCUCGCUCCUUCUCGAGAGAUCUUCCUCGUUGACUUGCACGGAUGUCUCGCCUGGAAUGGGGUUUUGUUGUCUCAUGGUCCUGAACAUGGCCUCCCAUUCCGGAUUUGUGGCCGCUAUGACGUCCAAGAAGUUCUCGAGACCAGUCAUACGAGCUGUGAACGACGAUUUUGUCGAGGCCAACUCGUUUUGUGUCGACGACAGCUGAUGUUGUGUCGUCUCCAACACGUCGCGCAGCUGAGAGACUUCAUCAUCCCGUCUCUGGCCAUAAGAGGAAGUCGCUCUCGGAACAUCGUUGACGGAACCAAUCCCCAACACACGUCCCUUUUUCCUAAGAGCGACCUUAAAAAACAAUAAAAUAUAUAUUAAAAUUUAAAUUUUAAAGUAAAAUGGAAUUAAUAAAAAAUUUAUAUAAAAUUUACCUCCUCGUAAAUUCUAUCCACUUCUAUUGUGGAUAAGACGACGGGUGAUCCGUCGGCGGACUCCUGCGCCAGCUGGGUCUCACGCUCGUCAAUACGAGCUGCCACAUCAUUGUAGAUCUUCUCAGACAAAGUCGCAAGGCCCAAGCAAAUUAACGAGGAUAUACAGAGGCCCGUCUUUUAUUUAACGUCGUUCUUGCGACGAUUUUUGUUUUAUCAUCGAUUUUACGUGGGCCCGUCUUUCGUUUCGUCGCAAGGCCCAAGCAAAUUAACGAGGAUAUACAGAGGCCCGUGUUUUAUUUAACGUCGUUCUUGCGACGAUUUUUGUUUUUAUCAUCGAUUUUACGUGCAAAUAGCGAGGCUUUUUUUGCUAACCCCUAAAAUCUUAAACCCCAAACCUCAAACCCUAUCUUUCUUAUCUCCAAACCUCAAACCCUAUCUUUCCUAUAUUUCUUUUCUAAUACUUCAUAUAUUUCUAACCCUUUAACUUCAAUAUAUAUAUUUUUUUGAAUUUGAAAGGUUUAAUACGUUGGAAAACAAUUUUACAAAUUUUGAAUUUGACGUAUCACACAACAAAUCAAACACACGCUACAAAUCAUAUAUGAAAGGUUUAAAAACAAAAAAAAAAAGAGAAGAAGAUAUUUGAAUACAAAUGAUGUAGAUUUAUGUGGGCUACACUUACGUAUCUCGUCAUAUGUGUUUCCAAUAUCUUUCUUCUCUUUUUUUUUUAAGUUUAUAUAAAAUAGAAAAUAAUUUUUUUUUAGUUUAUAUGAAGUAGGAUGGGGAGUUUUAGGGUUUGCACAUUUGGGGUUUAGGGAUUUGGGUUUCAUUUUAGUUUAGGGUUUAUAUUUACCGACGAAUUAACGACGAAAAGUAAAAUAAAAAAGCGAACCUCGCUCAUUCCACGUAAGUUAACGAGGCUCUUACGACGUUUUAGUCUUACGUGGAAUAAGCGAGGUCCGCUUUUUUAAUUAUAAAUCGUCUCUUAUUCCACGUAAGUUAACGAGGCUCUUACGACGUUUACUGUUACCGUGGAAUAUGCGAGGUAAUGUAUUAUAAAUCGUCGUAAAAUUCCCGUGAGAUAACGUGGAAAGUACGACGACUGUCUCUAAACCCCUAAAACGAAACCCCAAAUCCCAAACCACAUCUUCUUUAUCUUCUACUUCAUAUAUCAAACACUUCUAUCCUUUAACCUCAAGCAAUUCAUUCUAAUCCAAACCGAAAAUUAUAAAAACACAAUUCCUUUACUUAUAAUUAAUGUCGAUAUCUUAUUUAUAAAUAAACUCCCAUUAUCUUUAAUUAUAUAUAAUAAAUCAAACUCAUACAAAUAUGAAAUACAUUAAUCGGAUUCAUCGACAUUCUCGUCAUCACUUGAAACAUCAUCAUUUACAUGAAACUCGUCUUCAACAGCUUCCUCCGUGGGAUCUUCGGUAAGAUCUUCAUACUCGUGAUUAUGCGGAUCAAUGAGAAGGAUGUCAUCAAUUUCUUGUUCAGGUUCAUGAACUUCAUUUAUUUGUUCUUCUUGCAAUGGUGGUUCUUCUCCUACGAUGAUUCGUCCUCGAGGUGUAACUUUGAUCACGGCUAACCAAUUUAUACCCGACUCUCUCAUCCGUGGGUAUGGAAGGAAGCUAACUUGGUCUGCUUGUGAAGCUAAGAUGAAGGGCUCGAAUUUGUUGUACCUCCGGCCACCGUUGACAUCUACUACACCGAAUUUGUUCAACCGAACACCUCUAUUGACGACGGGGUCGAACCAUUCACACUUGAAGAGGACGCAUUUUAGCUUCAAUAUCCCUGGGAAUUCGACUUCAAUAAUCUCCGUCAAGAUUCCGUAGAAAUCUGUUUCUCCUUUCACACAAAUUCCAUAGUUACUGGUUGCCCGCUGUUUACCAUACUCAUAUGUGUGAAAAGUAUAGCCUCGUGUGAAAUACAUCUGUGAUGUGGUGACCUUUACAAGUGGAGAUUGAAUUACUUCGUGUAACCACUUAGGAUAAUCUGCAUCGUCGUCAUAAUCAACCUAUUUAAAAAUAAAAAGAACGUUGAAAUACAAAUCAUUCAUGUAUGAAAAUUUUAAAAGUAUUUGAUUAAUACCUGAUUCUUCAACCACUUAACAAAGUGUUGAUCUUUUCUUUUGUCUACGUCACUUGUGGAUAUACCAGGAAAUGUUUCUUCGACUUGUGAAACAAACAUGCUGUAAAUUCACAUUUUACAUGAAUUAAUCUCUCUCAAUUAUAUAAUGUAUACUCAAUUUAAGUUACCUUUCAAAAUAACGCAUCAAUGGAUCCUCGCAAUUGAGUAGAAUAUAGGUGUGUGCACUAUGAGCGUCUUCUUCACUCGACCACCAAACCUGUUUUGAUUUCCCACCAAGUCGUCCAAUCUGGCUAAAGAUUUCUGGAACACCAACAACUGCAUAUGUGGGCGCAACGCCACCAUCAUCAUAUCUUCUUGGAGCUCUUCUUCGGGUACGUACUUUUGACGCAAAGUAGUACGAUGUGAAGUGAGAAACUUCUUCUGUCAAACUUCCAGCAAUUAUAGAACCUUCAACUUUGGCGAGGUUCUUUGCUUUUCCCUUCAAAUAUUUCAUGGCUCGCUCGUACUGAUACAUCCAUCCGUAAUGUACCGGUCCACGAAGCAAUGCCUCAUAUGGGAGGUGGAUAGCUAGAUGCUCCAUCACGUCAAAAAAGCCUGGAGGAAAUAUCUUCUCCAAGUUGCACAAUAAGAUAGGAAUGUUCUCCUGAAGCUGUUCUACGACUUCUUCUUUAAGAGUGCGUGUGCUCAAAUCCCUGAAAAAUGCUCCAAUGCCUAUUCCAAAAACAAUUAAACACAUUGUUAGUCAAAUACUAUUAUUGUAAACUAAACCAAUUUAAUAUUAUUGUCCUAUUGUAAACUACCUGCAAGUGCUUCAUGUACGUUUGUUGGAAGUAGCUCCGCAAAUGCAAAUGGCAGAAGUCGUUGCAUAAAGACAUGACAAUCAUGACUCUUCAUCCCGGAGAACUUUUGACCCUUUUCAACACAUCUUGAAAGAUUUGAAACAUACCCAUCAGGGAACUUCACUUCUGAUGCCACCCAAUUGAACAAAACCGACUUUUUUUCUGAAGACAAUCUAAAAAUUGGAACGGGAACUUGGCCAUUGCUUUUUAUAUGUAACUCACUUCUUGAGCAAAUAUCCGGCAAGUCCAACCUCGAUUUUAUGUUGUCUUUUGUCUUCCCUGGGACAUUCAAUAUUGUAUUCAUGAUGUUCUCAAAGAAAUUCUUCUCUAUAUGCAUCACAUCAAGGUUGUGGCGCAGAAGAAGAUCCUUCCAAUAUGGUAACUCCCAAAAUAUACUCUUCUUGUGCCAGUUGUGAUGAACACCGUAAGAAUCAGGCAUAUUACGAGGGACAUGCCAAUUACCACCCCAGCGAACUGUUUCGUUAGCUCCGUAGUAGUCGAUUUGCGCUUCAAUUUGUUCUCCAGUUAGAUAUGGAGGAGGAGUGUCUCUCACAACCUUUUUGUGCCUAAACAAAUUCUUGUUUCUUCGGUACGGAUGGCCAACUGGAAGAAAUCGACGGUGACAAUCGAACCAACUUGUCUUUCUACCAUUCUUCAGUUGAAAUGCAUCUGUCGUUCCAUUACAAUAUGGACAAGCUAAUCUCCCAUGUGUAGUCCAUCCAGACAACAUCCCAUAGGCAGGAAAGUCACUUAUGGUCCACAAAAGCAUAGCUCGCAUCGUAAAAUUCUUCUUCGUUGAGCAGUCAUACGUCCUCACCCCUGUUGACCACAAAUCCUUCAACUCUUUUAUCAGUGGUUGUAGGAAAACAUCAAGUGACCUUUUUGGAUGCUUCGGACCGGGUAUUAAUAUGGUCAAGAAUAAAAACUCCCGUUGCAUGCACAUCUCCGGUGGCAGGUUGUAUGGCGUAAGAAAGACAGGCCACAAUGAAUAUUGUCUCCCUGACAUUCCGAAUGGACUAAAUCCAUCUGUGCAUAAUCCGAGGUACACAUUCCGGCUAUUGCUAGCGAAAUUCGGAUGUACUUUGUUAAAAUGUUUCCAGGCUCUUGCAUCUGAUGGAUGAGUCAUCUCACCAUCCGUCUGAGUAUGCUCGGCAUGCCACCUCAUCUUUCCAGCAGUCUGCUCCGAUUGGUACAAUCUUUUCAAUCUAUCUGUAAUUGGUAGGUACCACAUCCUUUGGUACGGUACCCUAUUACGUCCCCUUCCUUGCGGCUUGAAUCGUGGUUUCUUGCAGAAUCGACAUUCUUCCAACUUCUCAUCAUCUCCCCAGUAGAUCAUGCAGUUGUCGAUGCAAACAUCUAUCAUCUCCGAAGGCAACCCAAGACUAUAAACCAGUUUCUGAAUCUCAUAAUAAGAAUCAGCAGACUCAUUGUCUUCCGGCAAAUACUCUUUAAAUAAAUCUGCCCAUUCGUUCAUGCAACUUUCAGGUAGAUUGUGAUCAGUUUUAAUAUUCAUCAUUCUAGCAGCCAAUGACAAUUUAGAGAGACCUUCUCUACAACCACUGUAAAGUGGUUGAUUUGCCGCAUCUAACAUUUCAUAAAACUUUUUUGAAUCUAUGUUAGGUUCUUCAUCUUCAUCAUCAUGAGCUACGAAUGCAUCAGUUACCAUAUCAUGAACCCUAUCAUAAUCUACCAUCGGCUGAUCCUCCUGAUGGUAACUAUGUGCAUUAUGCAAUUGAUGAUCAACCGGUUCUUCUUGAAAGUUGUUAUUCCUACUACUAGCUUCAUUCUGAUCAUAACUAUAACCUUCUCCAUGUUGAAACUAGAUAUAAUAAUUUGGCGUGAAACCUCUAUUUACUAAAUGCUUCCAAACAUUUUCACGAUUUGCCAACUUUGAAUUGUUACAUUUCCUACAAGGACAGAAUAUUUUACCGCUUUCUUGGGCGAGCGGUGUAGAAUCUGCUUGAUGCAUAAAACGCUCCAACCCAGCAAGAUAUUCUUUCGUCACUCUCCCGUUAGCAUCUCUAUGCAUAUACAUCCACCUCCGCAACUCGAAAAUAUUUCCCAAGCCCGACAUUUUUUUCACUUUUUUUUUUCUUGUUGGUGUGCUUAAAAUUAUGUUCAAACCUCCAUAUAUAUAGAAAAUUUUCGAAUCUGGUAGUUGAAUUUUGCUAGGAAUUUACGACGAAAAAUUAGGUUGGUGGCAAAAAAAACGUGUUAAGUUGGUGGAUUUCUCGUUCUUUCCUCGUAAGUUAUUUCCUCGUAAAAAUCAUGCUAAAAUUACGACGAAUUUGCGACGAAACACAUUUUUCUCGGAAAAACCACGUCAACUUACGACGAUUCUACGAGGAAAAGAGUUACUCGGUAUUUUACAAGGCCAUUACGAGGAAACUUUAUUUCCUCGCAAUUUCAUCGUUAAGUCAUCGUAAUUUCACGAGGAAUAGUUUUCCUCGUUAAAUUUCCUUGCUAAAACUGUGUUUUCUUGUAGUGUAUUGUUACAUGUAUAGGUAAUUGUGUUUUUGUUUUGAAAAUAUACAAAAUCAUAUACUGUAUUUUCUUAAUCUAUGUGCAUAAAUCUAGAAAGAAGGUUAAAAUGAGAUGGAUGAAGUAUAAUUUAGAGACCAAACAUCUAACAGUUUUGGGAGUCAAUGUCAAUAUUUUACUGGGAUGUGUCCAGAUCCGGUUCUUAAUUUCUAAUUGAGGUCGUUAAAACUUAAAACAAACAAAAAAAAAACUAACUGACAUCAUUGCCUCAGGGAUGCUAUGAUCGAGUACUCCAAGCAUGUGAUGACCUUAGGUGGUUUUCUCUUCGAACUCUUGUCUGAAUCUCUUGGUUUACACUCAGAGAUGCUUAAGAGCAUGGAUUGCAUGAAGGGUUUGAAUAUCAUCGGCCAUUAUUACCCUCCUUGUCCACAACCCGACCUAACUUUUGGCACAAGUCAGCAUUCCGACAGCUCCUUCAUCACCAUUCUUCUUCAGGAUCAAAUCGGUGGUCUUCAAAUUCUUCAUAAGGACUCUUGGGUCGAUGUCUCUUCUCUUCCUGGAGCGCUCGUCAUCAACAUAGGAGAUU